rnacentral:rRNA from 1 species
CCUACGGGAGGCAGCAGCGGGGAAUCUUGGGCAAUGGGCGAAAGCCUGACCCAGCGACACCGCGUGAGGGAUGAAGGCCCUCAGGGUUGUAAACUUCUUUUGUACGGGACGAAACCCUUGAACGUGUUCGAGGCUGACGGUACCGUACGAAUAAGCAACGGCUAACUCCGUGCCAGCAGCCGCGGUAAUACGGAGGUUGCAAGCGUUAUCCGGAUUCAUUGGGUUUAAAGGGUGCGUAGGCGGGACGGUAAGUCAGUGGUGAAAGCCUGCAGCUUAACUGUAGAAUUGCCAUUGAUACUGCUGUUCUUGAGUGCAGCUGAGGUGGGCGGAAUGUGUAGUGUAGCGGUGAAAUGCUUAGAUAUUACACAGAACACCGAUUGCGAAGGCAGCUCACAAAACUGUAACUGACGCUGAGGCACGAAAGCGUGGGGAGCAAACAGGAUUAGAUACCCUUGUAGU